rnacentral:rRNA from 1 species
GAUGAACGCUGGCGGCGUGCCUAAUACAUGCAAGUCGAACGAAACUUCUUUAUCACCGAGUGCUUGCACUCACCGAUAAAGAGUUGAGUGGCGAACGGGUGAGUAACACGUGGGCAACCUGCCCUAAAGAGGGGGAUAACACUCGGAAACAGGUGCUAAUACCGCAUAACCAUAGUUACCGCAUGGUAACUAUGUAAAAGGUGGCUAUACUACCGCUUUUGGAUGGGCCCGCGGCGCAUUAGCUAGUUGGUAGGGUAAAGGCUUACCAAGGCAAUGAUGCGUAGCCGAAUUGAGAGGUUGAUCGGCCACAUUGGGACUGAGACACGGCCCAAACUCCUACGGGAGGCAGCAGUAGGGAAUCUUCCACAAUGGGCGCAAGCCUGAUGGAGCAACGCCGCGUGGGUGAAGAAGGUCUUCGGAUCGUAAAACCCUGUUGUUAGAGAAGAAAGUGCGUGAGAGUAACUGUUCACGUUUCGACGGUAUCUAACCAGAAAGCCCCGGCUAACUACGUG